rnacentral:rRNA from 1 species
GAUGAACGCUAGCGGCAGGCCUAAUACAUGCAAGUCGAGCGGCAGCGCGGGGGCAACCCUGGCGGCGAGCGGCGAACGGGUGAGUAACACAUCGGAACGUACCCAGUGGUGGGGGAUAGCCCGGCGAAAGCCGGAUUAAUACCGCAUACGACCUGAGGGGGAAAGUGGGGGACCGCAAGGCCUCACGCCGUUGGAGCGGCCGAUGUUCGAUUAGCUAGUUGGUAGGGUAAAGGCCUACCAAGGCGACGAUCGAUAGCUGGUCUGAGAGGACGACCAGCCACACUGGAACUGAGACACGGUCCAGACUCCUACGGGAGGCAGCAGUGGGGAAUUUUUGGACAAUGGGGGCGAACCCUGAUCCAGCCAUUCCGCGUGAGUGAAGAAGGCCUCGGUUGUAA